UGAGCCCAAAGCACCUGGGUUCCGGGGCCUCUCCCUCAAUCUCCAGGGAGCACAGAAGCCCUGAGCAGAGCCACUGCCCCCGAGGGAGUGUGCGGAGCCCACAGCUGUGCCAAGGCGGUGCCCACUCGUUGUUUGCCCGAGAGUGUUAGUGGCCGUCUCUGCGGCGGCAGCUCCUGUCGCACCGCUGUUUUUAUUUUCUGUUCCAUGGCUAAUAAUGUUCUUUUCAUCCCUGGACAUCUGUCGGCUGCUGAUGAACAACACAAAAGUGGACUAAGACCUUUGGGAUGAAG
rnacentral:lncRNA from 1 species